rnacentral:misc_RNA from 1 species
GUUUUUUGUGCAAGAGGCAAUUGGAGCUGAAUAUGGAGAAGGUUUUGAGACAUUUAGACCAGAUGGGCCUUUGAAGGUUGAUGUGGAUUUUUUGAAUGAUAGGCUGCAAGAAGGUUUUCUUCAACGGAUACGUUAUGCCAUGAAACCAGAUGAAGCGUAUGGUCUUAUUUUCUCAUGGGACAAUGUUGUGGCANNNNNNNNNUGAAGCUGAAUGUGUGGAAGCAGCUUGCAUCUGAAGAGGGAAAGGAAAUUCCUGAUGAUGGACAUGCAC